rnacentral:ncRNA from 1 species
CGAUCGGUAGACGCUACGGACUUAAUAAUUUGAGCUUUAGUAGAAAAACUUACUAAAUGCUAGCUUUCAGAUUCAGGGAAACUUAAGUUGAAAAAAGUAUAAGCGAUCCUGAGCCAAAUUUUAUUUCAAAAACAAAAAUAAGAUAGGUGCAGAGACUCAAUGGAGGCUAUCCUAACGCAAAAUUUUUUAAGAUUUAUUUAAUUGAAUUUUCUGAGUUAAGAAAAAAAUUUGGUUAAAUCUUUUUUUCAAAUAAGAAGCGAGGAUAAAGAUAGAGUCCAAUUUUACAUGUUAAUUUUAGCAAUAAUUUAAAUUGUAGUAAAAAGAAAAUCCGUUGGCUUUAUUGACCGUGAGGGUUCAAGUCCCUCUACCCCCAAAACUAGAAAAUUUUUUAUUGACAUAAGCUUUCAAUUUAUGUUAGGAUAUGCUAAAUAAAAAAAAAGGCCGGAAUAGCUCAGUUGGUAGAGCAGAGGACUGAAAAUCCUCGUGUCAC